rnacentral:rRNA from 1 species
CGGCAGGCUUAACACAUGCAAGUCGAGCGGAUGAAGGGAGCUUGCUCCUGGAUUCAGCGGCGGACGGGUGAGUAAUGCUUAGGAAUCUGCCUAUUAGUGGGGGACAACAGUUGGAAACGACUGCUAAUACCGCAUACGCCCUACGGGGGAAAGGAGGGGAUCUUCGGACCUUUCGCUAAUAGAUGAGCCUAAGUCAGAUUAGCUAGUUGGUGGGGUAAAGGCCUACCAAGGCGACGAUCAGUAGCGGGUCUGAGAGGAUGAUCCGCCACACUGGGACUGAGACACGGCCAGACUCCUACGGGAGGCAGCAGUGGGGAAUAUUGGACAAUGGGGGCAACCCUGAUCCAGCCAUGCCGCGUGUGUGAAGAAGGCCUUUUGGUUGUAAAGCACUUUAAGCGAGGAGGAGGAGCUCUUGGUUAAUACCCAAGAUGCUUGGACGUUACUCGCAGAAUAAGCACCGGCUAACUCUGUGCCAGCAGCCGCGGUAAUACAGAGGGUGCGAGCGUUAAUCGGAUUUACUGGGCGUAAAGCGUACGUAGGCGGCUUUUUAAGUCGGAUGUGAAAUCCCUGAGCUUAACUUAGGAAUUGCAUUCGAUACUGGGAAGCUAGGGUAUGGGAGAGGAUGGUAGAAUUCCAGGUGUAGCGGUGAAAUGCGUAGAGAUCUGGAGGAAUACCGAUGGCGAAGGCAGCCAUCUGGCCUAAUACUGACGCUGAGGUACGAAAGCAUGGGGAGCAAACAGGAUUAGAUACCCUGGUAGUCCAUGCCGUAAACGAUGUCUACUAGCCGUUGGGGCCUUUGAGGCUUUAGUGGCGCAGCUAACGCGAUAAGUAGACCGCCUGGGGAGUACGGUCGCAAGACUAAAACUCAAAUGAAUUGACGGGGGCCCGCACAAGCGGUGGAGCAUGUGGUUUAAUUCGAUGCAACGCGAAGAACCUUACCUGGCCUUGACAUACAGAGAGCUUUCCAGAGAUGGAUUGGUGCCUUCGGGAACUCUGAUACAGGUGCUGCAUGGCUGUCGUCAGCUCGUGUCGUGAGAUGUUGGGUUAAGUCCCGCAACGAGCGCAACCCUUUUCCUUAUUUGCCAGCGAGUAAUGUCGGGAACUUUAAGGAUACUGCCAGUGACAAACUGGAGGAAGGCGGGGACGACGUCAAGUCAUCAUGGCCCUUACGGCCAGGGCUACACACGUGCUACAAUGGUCGGUACAAAGGGUUGCUACCUAGCGAUAGGAUGCUAAUCUCAAAAAGCCGAUCGUAGUCCGGAUUGGAGUCUGCAACUCGACUCCAUGAAGUCGGAAUCGCUAGUAAUCGCGGAUCAGAAUGCCGCGGUGAAUACGUUCCCGGGCC